rnacentral:rRNA from 2 species
UAGGGAAUUUUGCGCAAUGGACGGAAGUCUGACGCAGCAACGCCGCGUGAAGGAUGAAGGCCUUCGGGUUGUAAACUUCUGUUGGAUGGGAAAAAAAGCCUUUUAAGAGGAAUUGAUGGUACCAUUCGAGUAAGCACCGGCUAACUACGUGCCAGCAGCCGCGGUAAUACGUAGGGUGCGAGCGUUGUUCGGAAUCACUGGGCGUAAAGGGAGCGUAGGCGGAACUGUAAGUUAGAAGUUUAAUACAUGGGCUCAACCCGUGGUCUGCUUUUAAUACUGCGGUUCUUGAGUAUGGGAGAGGGCGAUGGAAUUCCAGGUGUAGCGGUGGAAUGCGUAGAUAUCUGGAAGAACACCAGUAGCGAAGGCGGUCGCCUGGCCCAAUACUGACGCUGAGGCUCGAAAGCUAGGGUAGCAAACGGG